CAGCGCCCCAUGCAUGCCAGGCAAGCGCGCUACCGCUUGAGCCACAUCCCCAGCCCUCACCAUCCCUUUUUAAGGGUUUGUAGUGACAAGAUCCCACCAAGUUGAUCAGGCUGGCCUCAAACUUGAGAGUCUCCUGAUUCUGCCUCCCAAGGAGCUGGAAAUACAGACAUGAGCCACUGUGCCAGGAAAUACAGAUUCUUUUCAAUAGUUCAUUAUUCUUCUCUUUAUCUUCUCAUCAUACAGUACCUCCAUCUCUCCUGGAACAUUUAUCACAAUAUAUUAUUUGUUUAUUUGCUUGUCUUCCUCCAUUGUUUUAUAAGUGCCCUUCAGAUCAGUAAUUCUGCUGUCUUCCUCCCUUGCAUUUCCGGUGCUUCAGACAGUGUCUAGGUUGUAGAAGGUAUAGAAGAUAUCUAAUAAAUAUUGUUCCAAUUCAUUUGGAAAGCUGUCACUUCUUGUCACUAGCCACGAUUCACUAGCUUCCCAGGCAGCCUAUCCCAUGGGUGACCUGUUCUCUCUGGUAGAAAGUUCUUCCUUAUAGGGAGCCAAGCCAUGACUUCAUGAUUUUUACUCAGUGUUCUUUUCUUUAGUCCGAAAGACCCUCACACAACUGCUCAGGGGCCCGCAUUUGUAUUCAGCCUCCCAGGCAUUUGAGAUUACAAUCAUGACAUACUUGAGUCUUCUCAUGUCCAUGCUAAAUUCUGUCUGUUCCUUUACUUUGUAUGAAUUAAGAUU
rnacentral:lncRNA from 1 species